CGCGUAGGCGGCGCGGUAAGUCACCUGUGAAAUCUCCAGGCUUAACUUGGAGCCUGCAGGCGAAACUGCCGUGCUCGAGUGUGGGAGAGGUGCGUGGAAUCCCCGGUGUAGCGGUGAAAUGCGUAGAUAUCGGGAGGAACACCUGUGGCGAAAGCGGCGCACUGGACCACAACUGACGCUGAGGCGCGAAAGCUAGGGGAGCAAACAGGAUUAGAUACCCUGGUAGUCCUAGCCCUAAACGAUGAUUGCUUGGUGUAGCCGGUACCCAAUCCGGCUGUGCCGCAGCUAACGCGAUAAGCAAUCCGCCUGGGGAGUACGGUCGCAAGGCUGAA
rnacentral:rRNA from 1 species